rnacentral:lncRNA from 1 species
GAGACAUGGUUGGUUUUAUUGAAAUGCACAUAUGUGGUUUUUGUUUUUUAACCUUGUAGGAAAUCAAUGUGUUGACAGUUGCAUUGGUCAACCAAGACCGAGAGAACAAUAUAGAGAAAAGAAGCCAAGGUUUAAAAUCAGAGAAAGAAGCUCUGCUAAUAGGCAUUAUAUCCACGUUUCUUCACGUCCAUCCUUUCGGAGCCAACAUCGAAUACCUUUGGUCCUACAUGCAGCAGCUGGACUCCAAGAUAUCUGCAAACGAAAUCGAAAUGCUUCUGAUGAGGCUGCCGCGCAUGUUCAAGCAGGAGUUCACCGGCGUGGGCGCCACGCUGGAGAAAAGGUGGAAGCUGUGCGCCUUUGAAGGAAUUAAAACCGCCUAACCGUGAAGAGCCGAGAACCUCGGGGAAGGAAACCCUCUGAGACCGGCCAGGGCCGCGCCGUCCGCGGGCAGGAGGCUGGGGCUGGUCCAGUGGCCGCUUCUGCAGAGCCAGGAGAGCCCGACCUUCGUCACACCGUGGCGUUCCCUUGUGCGUGGACAUGUGAUUGUGAACCAGUACCUUCAACCAACAGAAAAUGUCCCUGCCGUGACAGAACUGCUUCCUGUGAGCACCAGGCAAUGAUUCCACAGGCAUAGUGAUGGCAAAAUCUUAAAAUACACUGCGUUUCAGAAUAGCUCACCAAACAAAAUAUUUAAAGUUAACGAUGGUGUAGCAAUGGUUGUUGCUAGGCUACAGAGUUGUGUAUGUGAUGUAUAGCUGAAAUCAUUAAAUGACAUUUUCCUGAAAGUCUAUCUUCCUGUUUUAGUAACAAAAAAAAGAAAAGAAAAAGGGAAUUUUACAGUGAGGAAAGAUUGUACCAAAAGAAAACUUGAAUAUGUGUCUGAACAGUUAUGGUAUUUUGUAAAUUAAGUUAUAUGCUAUUCCAGGGACUUUUGCCUUAUUGAAGAGGCAGAAAAUGUGAUUGGACUCCUUGAGAAUGCUUUAUCAAGAAUAUUAUUUUUCUAAGGUUACAACUCUCCAUCGUAAGUUCUUUUAACAUGGACUGCAUAACAGUUUUCAUAAAAUGUAAAUAAAGGGAAAUUAGUGAUACUGGCUUGUACUGGGUAUGUAAUGUUCAAGUUCAUGCAUCAAAAUAAACAUUCAGUAAAUAUUCCUGUUACAACUUUUAUAGCAAAGAUGUUAAUUUUUUUCAAUAAAUAUGACUUCUACCAUACUGAUUUUACUAUUUUAUCUUUGAUUAGUUUUACCUCAU